rnacentral:rRNA from 1 species
GAUGAACGCUGGCGGCGUGCCUAAUACAUGCAAGUCGAGCGAACGGACGAGAAGCUUGCUUUUCUGAUGUUAGCGGCGGACGGGUGAGUAACACGUGGAUAACCUACCUAUAAGACUGGGAUAACUUCGGGAAACCGGAGCUAAUACCGGAUAAUAUUUUGAACCGCAUGGUUCAAAAGUGAAAGACGGUCUUGCUGUCACUUAUAGAUGGAUCCGCGCUGCAUUAGCUAGUUGGUGAGGUAACGGCUUACCAAGGCAACGAUGCAUAGCCGACCUGAGAGGGUGAUCGGCCACACUGGAACUGAGACACGGUCCAGACUCCUACGGGAGGCAGCAGUAGGGAAUCUUCCGCAAUGGGCGAAAGCCUGACGGAGCAACGCCGCGUGAGUGAUGAAGGUCUUCGGAUCGUAAAACUCUGUUAUUGGGGAAGAACAUAUGUGUAAGUAACUGUGCACAUCUUGACGGUACCUAAUCAGAAAGCCACGGCUAACUACGUG